rnacentral:lncRNA from 1 species
AGCAUUCACAAAUGUAUGAUUUAUAUUGGCUGUGAGGAAGCUGCAGAGAGGUAUGGAUAAUCAGCAUCUCAUACAAGUAUUUAAUGUUUUAAGUGCAUUUUGCUAUUGCUUUCCUCCUGGUUAUUUGUGACUUGUCUAAAUCUCAAUUUAAUGGGAAAAAAAACCAAACCAUAAGGGCAACAGAAACUUCAUUUAUCCACCUGUUUUUCCCCAAACUGUCAUUGGCUCAGAGUGCAGGAUGAACACCUUAAUGCUGUAGAGACAGUCUGGAAGUCCCAUCGUAUUGCAGAGUAUGUACUAGAGAGAGAUUUUAGCUUUGCAGUAUAGCCCUUGUGCCACUUACUUUUCCAAUGAAUCAUGUGAUAUUCUAAUUGUUUCCUUUUUUUUUUUUUUUUAAUCAUUUGUUCUAAUUUUAUUUUAUUUUAUUUUAUUUUAUUUUAGUUACCAGAAAUUGAAGGCAAAAUUCAAAGAAGCAUAAUAGAGAAUUGCAGGAGAGGAUUAAGUAAACAACUCUAAGGUGAUCUCAAAGGAAAAUACUCAAGGGGAAUUUGGGGACCAGAGAUUUAAUGGUUGCAGUUUUAUAAUCUUUAUCAGAGCACUGAGUCUGUAAUAGGAAGAUGGGAGUAAUUGCCUCCAAGAUUUCUGUCACCUCAAUCAACCUUCGAGGGAAAAUCAUCGCAAGAGAGCCUCUGUCACCAGGCAAGUUUCCUUUAAGACAAGCAUCUCAGUGGUGCAGAAACCCAGUGCUACUUCUCCAGCGGGCAUCAGCCUACAGCUGUCUCAAGAGAGACCAUCUCUAGACAGAGAGUGCCCGUCAGCCUCUAGCGAUGCCUACAUGCUGCAGUCUCACAGGGUAGGUUCAGGUUAGCCAUGUUUUU